rnacentral:rRNA from 1 species
AUUGAACGCUGGCGGCAGGCCUAACACAUGCAAGUCGAACGGCAGCACAGAAGAGCUUGCUCUUUGGGUGGCGAGUGGCGGACGGGUGAGUAAUGUCUGGGAAACUGCCCGAUGGAGGGGGAUAACUACUGGAAACGGUAGCUAAUACCGCAUAACGUCGCGAGACCAAAGUGGGGGACCUUCGGGCCUCACACCAUCGGAUGUGCCCAGAUGGGAUUAGCUAGUAGGUGGGGUAAUGGCUCACCUAGGCGACGAUCCCUAGCUGGUCUGAGAGGAUGACCAGCCACACUGGAACUGAGACACGGUCCAGACUCCUACGGGAGGCAGCAGUGGGGAAUAUUGCACAAUGGGCGCAAGCCUGAUGCAGCCAUGCCGCGUGUAUGAAGAAGGCCUUCGGGUUGUAAAGUACUUUCAGCGGGGAGGAAGGCGGUGAGGUUAAUAACCUCGCCGAUUGACGUUACCCGCAGAAGAAGCACCGGCUAACUCCGUGCCAGCCGCCGCGGUAAAAC